UACGUAGGGUGCGAGCGUUAAUCGGAAUUACUGGGGCGUAAAGCGUGCGCAGGCGGUUUUGUAAGACAGAUGUGAAAUCCCCCGGGGCUCAACCUGGGGAACUGCGUUUUGUGACUGCAAAGACUUGAGUAUGGGCAGAGGGGGUAGAAAUUCCCACGUGUAGCAGUGAAAUGCGUAGAGAUGUGGGAGGGAAAUACCCGAUGGGCGAAAGGGCAGCCCCCUGGGGUCCAAUACUGACG
rnacentral:rRNA from 1 species